rnacentral:rRNA from 1 species
UACGUAGGGUCCGAGCGUUGUUCGGAUUUACUGGGCGUAAAGGGCGCGUAGGCGGCGCUUCGAGUCGCGUGUGAAAGCCCCGGGCUCAACCUGGGAGGUGCGCGCGAUACUGGGGUGCUGGAGUUCGGGAGAGGAGCGUGGAAUUCCCGGUGUAGCGGUGAAAUGCGUAGAUAUCGGAAGGAACACCAGUGGCGAAAGCGGCUUCCUGGUCCAGCACCGACGUUCAGGCACGAAAGCGUGGGGAGCAAACAGG